rnacentral:rRNA from 1 species
UACAGAGGUCUCGAGCGUUAGGCGGAAUCACUGGGCUUAAAGCGUGUGUAGGCGGAUCGUUAAGUGCCUUGUGAAAUCCCACGGCUCAACCGUGGAACUGCUUGGCAUACUGGCGGUCUUGAGCAACCUAGGGGCGAGCGGAACAAAUGGUGGAGCGGUGAAAUGCGUAGAUAUCAUUUGGAACGCCAAUGGUGAAAACAGCUCGCUGGGGUUGCUGACGCUGAGACACGAAAGCCAGGGGAGCAACGGG